rnacentral:rRNA from 1 species
ACACAUGCAAGUCGAACGAAGCUUGACGGAUGAUUUCUUCGGAAUGAAACCUGAUAUGACUUAGUGGCGGACGGGUGAGUAACACGUGAGCAACCUGCCUUUCAGAGGGGGAUAACGGCUGGAAACGGUCGCUAAUACCGCAUGACGUGUUCGGAUGGCAUCAUCUGAACAUCAAAGAUUUAUCGCUGAAAGAUGGGCUCGCGUCUGACUAGAUAGUUGGUGGGGUAACGGCCUACCAAGUCGACGAUCAGUAGCCGGACUGAGAGGUUGAACGGCCACAUUGGGACUGAGAUACGGCCCAGACUCCUACGGGAGGCAGCAGUGGGGAAUAUUGCACAAUGGGGGAAACCCUGAUGCAGCAACGCCGCGUGAAGGAUGACGGUUUUCGGAUUGUAAACUUCUUUUCUUAGUGACGAAGACAGUGACGGUAGCUAAGGAAUAAGCAUCGGCUAACUACGUGCCAGCAGCCGCGGUAAUACGUAGGAUGCAAGCGUUAUCCGGAUUUACUGGGUGUAAAGGGAGCGCAGGCGGGACUGCAAGUUGGAUGUGAAAUACCGUGGCUUAACCACGGAACUGCAUCCAAAACUGUAGUUCUUGAGUGAAGUAGAGGCAAGCGGAAUUCCGAGUGUAGCGGUGAAAUGCGUAGAUAUUCGGAGGAACACCAGUGGCGAAGGCGGCUUGCUGGGCUUUAACUGACGCUGAGGCUCGAAAGUGUGGGGAGCAAACAGGAUUAGAUACCCUGGUAGUCCACACUGUAAACGAUGAUAGCUAGGUGUGGGGG